UACGUAGGGUGCAAGCGUUAAUCGGAAUUACUGGGCGUAAAGCGUGCGUAGGCGGUGAUGUAAGUCAGGUGUGAAAUCCCCGGGCUUAACCUGGGAACUGCAUUUGUGACUGCAUCGCUGGAGUGCGGCAGAGGGGGAUGGAAUUCCGCGUGUAGCAGUGAAAUGCGUAGAUAUGCGGAGGAACACCGAUGGCGAAGGCAAUCCCCUGGGCCUGCACUGACGCUCAUGCACGAAAGCGUGGGGAGCAAACAGG
rnacentral:rRNA from 1 species